rnacentral:lncRNA from 1 species
CUUUUAUUUCCUCCACAAAUCCUGCACUUACUUCUAGUUGAAAACUGUUCGAACUAGUUUUUAACAUUGCUAUGCUCAUUAAUGCCAUUUCGUACCAACUAAUCCAAAUCAAAGAGAGGCAGGACGUAUGACAACUACUUUCAACCACUGUGACGAAGAAACUGACCAUCGCUGUAAUUGAGAAGCCAGUUAUUUAUCAUCUAACAAUGAAGAAGGUGGUUUUUGUACCUAAGAAGUGCUUGAGAGGAGCCUUUCAAGUGGCAGUUGUGACCUGUCAGGAUUAGCUUUUUCAAAUUGGAGUAAAACAUUUUAAUAAUUUUAAUGAUGUAUGCUGCACAAGAAAACAGCACAUUACUUUUUAUAAUGAGCCUUUAGAGCUGUGAUAUUUGGGUAGAGCUAGAGAAACUGUAAAUAUAUUAAACUCAGUGAACUGUUGCUAGAGCAAUGCUGCCUCAUACACUUUUCCUUAAAAUUAAAACCAAAUUUUAUUUUGAGUUGAACACCUAACCAAAAAUACUAAGAUGGAAAAUUAUAUCAAAACAAGCUGUGGCUGGAACGACCGCAAGAAGGCUUGCAUCAUUACCUGUCUCAGUGCCAUGGCUCAUUGUGCUGUGCUUGUAGGAGCAGCAAAAGUGUUAAUGUGUUGCCAUGAAGCGGUGUCGCUGUCUGGACAUACGGGGUGGUGAGCCUGUCAUGCCCUGACACAGGCGAACAGCUAAACUUAAAGUGUGGAGUGAGAGGAAUGCCAAGGUCCAGUAAGCCCCUCGGGGCAAUUAGGAAGGGAAGAGGAGAUUCUACUGGGGAACAAGUGUGUGUUUUCAUGUGUGUGUGAGACAGAAAUAGAGUUGAGAGACUCAGUUGGAAUUCAUGAGCUCGUUUUCAGCCAGAGAAGUAACCAGUGAGCAAAGGAGUUCAUGUGCAGUCAAGAGAACGAGAAGGGAUCAAGCUUGGAGCGUCAAACAGGUUAUGCCCUGUUUUGUGAUUAACCCUGGCAGCCAUACACUACAGCUGGAAGCGCAACACAACAUCCAGCACCGUGAAGCUCCAAGGCUGUAGACAUGACAAGGACAGAGCAGGUUGGAGUUGAAUCAGAGGAAGACGAAGCACUUCUAAUCUUAUCGGGAUCGUUUUGGAGACUUGCACAAAACUCAAGGACGUUAAAGAUUUUUCCAGAGAGAGAUUCAAGCGAGUAAAUGUCAUAUGGUGUUAUCUGAGAAAAUCAUGGUAUAAAUGACAUCAGAUGCAAUACACUAUUAAAAUAAAAAUUUUUAUAUCUAACACGGCUACAAGUUUGUUCUAAAGACACUCCACGUCAGCAGAUGCAUGCAGAUGUUAGUGUGGUAAAACAUCAAGCCAGUUUUAUAUUAUCAUAAGCCUGAGGGGAACACAGCCCAUGUUUUCACUGAUACUGUCACACAGGAAAAUGAAUUACGACAGCUAUGCAACCACCACAAAAACCACUCCUGACUAUUAGGUAGGAAUAUUUGACAAAUCGUGAACUUUCUGUUUACAUAAUAGCUUAAAAAUUGAAUUAGAGGCUCUUAUGGAACUUAAGUUUAAAAUUCAGGAUGCGGUGCAGAUGCAGCUGUGAUAGUGACACACACGUAACGGUCAAGCCACACUGACAGUUUCAGAUUGACAAAGAGAUGCUGACAGAGGCUGACAGACGGCUAAUAGUUUUCUAUUUUUAAAGCCUUAACGAAUGUGUGUUGCACAGGAGGUGGCGCCUUGGCUGGCUAACCGGUUACCAAGCCAGUUUUUUUAUGAAACUUGGAGAAGACUGUGGAGCAUGGGCAAAUGAGGAACCUAUUAAAUCCUGAUCCAGAUCCAAACUGCUUUGGAAAACUGUUCAGAUAUUCCUCUGACUUUGUGGUUGUUUCUGCAUGCUGUAUGCAUAAGCCUCUCCACCAAAAAUAAAUACAAAAACAAAAGUGAAAAAUUAAAACGGAUCAUUGAUAUUUCUAAAUCCUCUUAAUAGUAGUUAUAAUUUUAAGUUCUUGUAAUAGUGCUGUGCUGUUUCCUAGAGUUUAUUCUUUGAAUCGAUUGAUUCCAAGUGCUCACUCUUCUCUUGGUAACUGGCUGACAGCUAGGGUUUGUGCUGCCAAUAAGUGAUAUCCAGUGACAUAUAUCUGAAAUAAAGAUCUGUACUGAAGGGCCUCUUGGCUAUUUGUCACUGUCAACCCAGUGUGAGUUGUUGUCAGGCCUUAGUGCUAGU